rnacentral:rRNA from 1 species
GACGAACGCUGGCGGCGUGCCUAAUACAUGCAAGUCGAGCGCUGAAGGUUGGUACUUGUACCGACUGGAUGAGCAGCGAACGGGUGAGUAACGCGUGGGGAAUCUGCCUUUGAGUGGGGGACAACAUUGGGAAACGAAUGCUAAUACCGCAUAAAAACUUUAAACACAAGAUUUAAGUUUGAAAGAUGCAAUUGCAUCACUCAAAGAUGAUCCCGCGUUGUAUUAGCUAGUUGGUGAGGUAAAGGCUCACCAAGGCGAUGAUACAUAGCCGACCUGAGAGGGUGGUCGGCCACAAUGGGAAUGAGACACGGCCCAAACUCCUACGGGAGGCAGCAGGAGGGGAUCUUCGGCAAAGGACGAAAGUCUGACCGAGCAACGCCGCGGGGGUGAAGAAGGGUUUCGGAUCGGAAAACUCUGUUGGUAGGGAAGGACGUUGGUGAGAGUAGAAAGCUCAUCAAGUGACGGUAACUACACAGAAAGGGACGGCUAACUACGUG